ensembl:misc_RNA Metazoa_SRP Metazoan signal recognition particle RNA
GCUGGGCGUGGUGGUGCACGCCUGUAGUCCCAGCUACUUAGGAAGCUGAGGCAGGAGAAUAGCUUGCACCUGGGAGGCAGAGGUUGCAGUGAGCCAAGAUCGCGCCACUGCACUCCAGCCUGGGCGACAGGGCAAGACUCUGUCUCUC